GCAGUUAAAGACGAGGAAAAAGAAGAGGAAGGAAGAGGCAAGGGAGAGGCAAGGGAAGACGUAAACCACAUUUGCAUGCCCUCAACUCCAUACGACCACCAUGGUUCUUCUUCCUCUUCUUUUCCGUUUUCUUCUUCUUCGUUUUCUUCUCCUUCUCCUUUAUCUU
rnacentral:ribozyme from 12 species